AUCUCCCAUUAAACCAUAUAUAACUAAGUUACAGAUGGUACAAUUUAUUGUGUUGAUAAUACUUCUAAUGCAGUGUGUGAAUCCUAAUUGUGAGGCGCCACAUAUAAAUAAAGGAUCACCUAUCUUUAUUUUAAAUUUAAU